AUUGAACGCUGGCGGCAGGCUUAACACAUGCAAGUCGAGCGAGCGGCGGACGGGUGAGUAAUGUCUGGGAAACUGCCUGAUGGAGGGGGAUAACUACUGGAAACGGUAGCUUAUACCGCAUACCAUCAGAUGUGCCCAGCUGGGAUUAGCGGGUAGGUGGGGUAAUGGCUCACCUAGGCGACGAUCCCUACCUGGUCUGCGAGGAUGACCAGCCACACUGGAACUGAGACACGGUCAGGACUCCUACGGGAGGCAGCAGUGGGGAAUAUUGGACAAGGGGGUAAAGCCGGAUGCGGCCAUGCGGCGUGUGUGAAGAAGGCCUUCGGGUUGUAAAGCACUUUCAGCGAGGAGGCGUUACUCGCAGAAGAAGCACCGGCUAACUCCGUGCCAGCAGCCGCGGUAAUUC
rnacentral:rRNA from 1 species